CUUCAGAUAAAUGAGUUCUGUGCCCACGAGUUCUGCCUGGUGAGUUGCUCCAUGGACUCCUUCCAUUUUUUGACAGGCAGUCCCUGCCACUCUCUCCUCAUCAGUGAGUGUCAUUUUUCUACAGUUUUUGCCAGCUACCUUCCUCAGCACAAUGAUGGUCAAGUAGGACUCUUUGGCUUUCUCCCAAGGAAUAUCCCAGAUGUACUCUCCCAGGUGGCACAGCAGAGCUGCUGCAUCUGUGACCAGAGCGGGGCCACCAUCACCUGCUGCGAUACAGACUGUGACCUGAGCUUCCACCUGCCCUGUGCCAAGUAGGGAGGCCGUGUCACCCAGUUCAUGGCACUGUACAGGGCCUUCUGCCCCACACACAGCCCAGAGCAGGCAGUGGAGGCGACUCCGGAGCCGGGCACCGAAUGCCUCAUCUGCAUGGAGCCUGUGGAGGACAG